rnacentral:ncRNA from 1 species
AAAAGACUUAGUCCUAACCUUACCGUUAGUUCUUGCCAAAUAUAUACAUGCAAGUAUCCGCACCCCAGUGAAAAUGCCCUCAACACCUUAACAAGGCCAGAGGAGCAGGUAUCAGGCUCACUCCAAUAAACUGUAGCCCAAAACGCCUUGCCUAGCCACACCCUCACGGGUACUCAGCAGUAAUUAAUAUUAAGCAAUAAGUGUAAACUUGACUUAGUUAAAGCAAUCCAUCAGGGCUGGUGAAUCUUGUGCCAGCCACCGCGGUCAUACAAGAAGCCCAAAUUAACCCACACGGCGUAAAGAGUGGUACCCUGUUAUCGUCCCAACUAAGACUGAAAUGUAACUAAGCUGUUACAAGCACAUGAUACAUUUAAUAUCUUCCACCAAAACGAUCUUAGCCUCACGACCAAUCAAACACCACGAAAGCCAGGGCACAAACUGGGAUUAGAUACCCCACUAUGCCUAGCCCUAAAUCUUGAUGCUUCCCCUACCUAAGCAUCCGCCUGAGUACUACGAGCACAAACGCUUAAAACUCUAAGGACUUGGCGGUACUCCAAACCCACCUAGAGGAGCCUGUUCUAUAAUCGAUAACCCACGAUACACCCAACCACCCCUCGCCACAUCAGCCUAUAUACCGCCGUCCCCAGCUCACCCCUAAUUGAGGGACAGAUAGUGAGCACAAUAGUCUCAUCCUACUAGCAAGACAGGUCAAGGUAUAGCUCAUGGGGUGGAAGAAAUGGGCUACAUUUUCUAACUUAGAAAACUACGACAAGAAGCAUGAAACUACUUCUGAAAGGCGGAUUUAGCAGUAAAACAGGAUAAUAAUGCCUUUUUUAAGCCGGCCCUGGAGUACGUACAUACCGCCCGUCACCCUCCUCACAAGCCACCCCCACUAAAUUCUUAAACUGCCCUCAGGCUAAAGAUGAGGUAAGUCGUAACAAGGUAAGUGUACCGGAAGGUGCACUUAGUCUACC